AAAAAGUUUUAUAGAUUUUAAAAAUGUUUAAUAAAUAUAUAAAUGAAUUUAAAAUGCAAAAAAUAGAUUUUAUAUACAAAAAACGUUUUCAAUAUAUAUAUAUAAUUACAAAUUCGAUUUUUAUAACCACAAAAUUAAUAAAAACUAAAAAAAAAAAUUCAAAUCAAGUGAAAUACAUAAUCAAACUCGAUUUUACACAAAUCUACCAUUCACCCUAACAAAAUCUAUAAAUCUCAUUCCAAAAUCAUCAAAUCUACUUAAAAACCAUACAAAUCUAACCUAAAAGAGUGGGAUAGGGUUCAUACAUGAGGAUUAGGGUGGAAAUCGCGAGGGAGAAGAGAGAAAGCGCCGUAAAUCGCAAGGGAGAAGAGAGGAGUCGACGAAAUCGCAGGGGAAAGAGAGAGUGCGGCGGAGAGAAAUGGGGAAGAAGGUCGGGCUCGACCUAAUAAAAUGAGGGGUCCGACGGAAAUUAUCCGUCGGAAUUUCCUCGAAAAUAUUUACUAUAUCCGUCGGAAUUUCCUCGGAAAUCAUUAAUUCAAUUUUCGCG
rnacentral:lncRNA from 1 species